rnacentral:rRNA from 1 species
CCCUUUGGGAAGAAACAUGCUAUUCUCAAAGACUAAGCCAUGCACGUGCCAAGUUCAUACGAUCUUAUCGUGAGACUGCGGACGGCUCAGUAUAUCAGUGAUUAUCUGUUUGAUUGUCUUACCCAUUGGAUAACCGUGGGAAAUCUAGAGCUAAUACAUGCAAAUAAUUGGCGUUGCUGCAAGGCGCGCCAAAGCAUUUAUUAGACUUAACCAUCUACUGUGUGGCAACAUACAGUAAGGCGAAUCUAGAUAACUUUGCUGAUCGUAUGGCCUAGUGCCGACGACGUUUCAAUUGAGUUUCUGCCCUAUCAAUUUGUUGGUAAGGUAUUGGCUUACCAAGGUUGCAACGGGUAACGGGGAAUCAGGGUUCGAUUCCGGAGAGGGAGCCUGAGAAACGGCUACCACAUCCAAGGGAGGCAGCAGGCGCGCAAAUUACCCAAUCUAGACAGUAGGAGGUGGUGAAGAGAAGUACUUAGUGGUGACCAAAUGGUCCCAACUUGGAAUGAGGCCAAUUUAAGAAAUUCGUCGAGUAACUACUGGAGGGCAAGUCCUGGUGCCAGCAGCCCGCGGUAAUUCCAGCUUCAGUGGCCGUGAUUUAAAGUUGCUGCGUUAAAACGCUCGUAGUUGGGAUCAUGCAGUGAUAUUCAGUGACCAUAAAUGGUACAUGUAUACGAUUUUCUCCACCGAGUUUAUUGAAUCUGUNCCAUUUUGCGUGUUUAUGCUUGAAUGUUACUAUUUGCACACAAGUAUGGCAUUUGGCCUUUAGUGAGUUGAGUGUCAUGUCUUGUGGAGUGUGCCUUGAAUAAAACAGAGUGCUCAAAGCAGGCGUAUGCUUGAAUGUUAUAGCAUGGAACGAACAAACGUGUAUUUGUGUAUGNUUGGUGGUAAUCAGAGGCAACUCUAUUUACUGUCGGCAUAUGCAGCACCCGCCAAAAUACGGAUGUUGGUUUUCGUAUCAGGUGAUGAUUAACAGGAGCGGUUGGGGGCAUUGGUAUUUGGCCGCGAGAGGUGAAAUUCUUGGACCGGCCAAGGACUAACAGAUGCGAAGGCGUUUGUCUAGACCGUUUCCAUUAAUCAAGAACGAAAGUGGGAGGUUCGAAGACGAUCAGAUACCGUCCUAGUUCUCACUAUAAACUAUGCCGACCUGGGAUCAGCUUAGUGAUUUACAAGCUCUAGGUUGGUCCUCCUGGGAAACCUCAAGUUUUUCGGGUUACGGGGAGAAGUAUGGUCGCAAGUCUGAAACUUUAAAGGGAAUUGACGGAAGGGCACCACCAGGGUGGAAGCCUGCGGCUUAAUUUGACUUAACACGGGGAAACUUACUCGGUCAGGACAUCGAAAGGAUAGACAGACUGAUAGAUCUUUCUUGAUGCGGUGAGUGGUGGUGCAUGGCCGUUCUUAGUUCGUGAAGUGAUUUGUCAGGUCGAUUCCGGUAACGGACGAGACCACUGUCUCCAUUUAAGAAUCAGUAAGCAAAAGGCUGGUGUGGUACCGCUUUUGUAGUAUCUCAUUAGCCUUUAUAGGUAAAAUAUCAAAUUCUGCAGGGAAAAGUAUGAAUGGGCAACCAAACCUACUUUAUCUCUUGUUGAAGGAGAUUGUUUUCCCUACUGUUAAGCAGAUUAGGGUCUACCUUAACGCUGCCUUAUGGAGAGACAACAGGUAUAUAAAAACCUGAGGAAGUGUGGCUAUAACAGGUCAGUGAUGCCCUUCGAUGUUCGAGGCAGCACGCGCGCUACAAUGAUAACAACAACAAGUUUCUGGGUCGAGAGACUUGGGUAAUCGCUAAUUGUUAUCGUGAUGGGGAUUGACGAUUGUAAUUUCGUCAUGAAAUAGGAAUCCCUAGUAUGUGUAAUUUAUUAAAUUGCACAGAUUUAGUCCCUGCCCUUUGUACACACCGCCCGUCGCUACUACCGAGUGAAUUAUGUCAUGAUGCUCUGGGACUGGACUUUGAAGGGGCUUAACCGUUUUUUCGAAGCUAGAAUCAGCGUAAAAUGGCGCAAUUUCGAGGAAGUAAAAGUCGUAACAAGGUUUCCG